UGGGGGAUAUUGCGCAAUGGGGGAAACCCUGACGCAGCAACGCCGCGUGAAGGAUGAAGGUUUUCGGAUUGUAAACUUCUUUUAUCAGAGAAGAUAAUGACGGUAUCUGAUGAAUAAGCCACGGCUAACUACGUGCCAGCAGCCGCGGUAAUACGUAGGUGGCGAGCGUUGUCCGGAUUUACUGGGUGUAAAGGGUGCGUAGGCGGGAUAGGAAGUCAGAUGUGAAAUACCGAGGCUUAACCUCGGGGCUGCAUUUGAAACUCCUAUUCUUGAGUGUCGGAGAGGAAAGCGGAAUUCCUAGUGUAGCGGUGAAAUGCGUAGAUAUUAGGAGGAACACCAGUGGCGAAGGCGGCUUUCUGGACGAUAACUGACGCUGAGGCACGAAAGCGUGGGGAGCAAACA
rnacentral:rRNA from 1 species